AUGGCGACCGGCGCACGGGUGAGUAACACGUAUCCAACCUGCCGAUAACUCAGGGAUAGCCUUUCGAAAGAAAGAUUAAUACCCGAUGGCAUAAUUAGACCGCAUGGUCUUAUUAUUAAAGAAUUUCGGUUAUCGAUGGGGAUGCGUUCCAUUAGGCAGUUGGUGAGGUAACGGCUCACCAAACCUUCGAUGGAUAGGGGUUCUGAGAGGAAGGUCCCCCACAUUGGAACUGAGACACGGUCCAA
rnacentral:rRNA from 1 species